UUUUUUGUUUCUCUGACAAUCUGACCCAUUUAGGCAGCCAGGUGUACCUUUUGAUUUGGAAAACGGGCAGCUCAUUCUUUCUGGAAAACCCAUCCUUUCAUUGCCCCCUUCGUCUCAAUCCCGUGUGUAGUGAGGCGGCGGCGCCAGGCGCGUCCGCUCGGAGCCCGGACGGCGGCGGCGCGAGCGAAGGCGCUAGGCCAUCUCCAAGGUUAUUUAUUUGCAUGGUGUGUUUUCAGUUUGAUGCAAGAAGGUUGUUGGUUGAUUACUAUUGGAUAUAUUUUUCUCCACCCGUCCAGGCACUGUAUUCUCAUCAUAUGACAGUAUGGACAUAUGCUUCCAUCUCAGCUUUGAGGAGGGCACCCAGCGACACACUCGAACCGUGUGUGUUUGUGCCCACAUGUAGAUUUGCAUGAGAUAUGUAUACUAGUACAAACACUUGGCAUGCUUUCAAAACUGAGCCAUUGGAGUUUAAUCGUGUGGCUACAAAUCUGAGUAUUGGUUUGCUUCUGAACACCCGAUUUUCUCAGCUUCAUUAAUCAUGUGAUUGGACAGAACAAAACACUGGGUGAUGAGAUGCUUAGAAACACUCAAGUUCGAUAUAGACAGAUCCAUCAAGCGUGUUAUACCGUCGGAACAGUGAGCAGAUUCGGUAGUGGUACCACUCGCUGUUGCUUCGCAUCUCAAUGGUCACAGUGAACCGACACACAAGCCUGAAGACGGAAGACACAAGACCGGAACAACCACCACGAUUUCGUUGUUGAUAGCAAAAGAAUGGGAACUGCCCACUGCGUACGAGCGGUUGAUUUCUACUCCGUACUACUCCCGUUGGCGGCCAUGUACUGAUCCCAAGGACGCCAUGCUGCUGGGCCAACAACAAGAGAAUGGCGUCGGCACCGCGCCGUUGGCGUGGCGGCCGGCAGAGCGGCGGGAUGCAGGCUGCCCGGUUAAGCUAGAGGAAGAAAGCUCAUUCAGCUAUAGCCAUCCAGCUCUUGGCCGGCAGCUCACUCACCACCCUUGAGAUCUAGGAUGCAUGUGAGCAUUUCCGAUUCGCUCCUCUGUGUAUCUCGUGCUCCCAUAUGGAUCCCAUGGUUGCAUUGCAUCGUAUUCCCCCUCCAUUUCCUGGAGUAAGCAAUUCCAACUCCUUUCCUGGAUCUCGGUUUUUGUUGUUCUGUACUUGUUUCCCCCGAUAAAUGUGUAGCCUAUCUCGAUUUGUGCUGUUCUAGGAUUUCCUCUUGUGUUUAUGUGUGAUUUGCACCUGUGCUAUUUAUAACUAGGCUUCUGAAUAGGUAUAAAAAAAUUCUCACUUAUAUAAUUAAAUUUGAUUUAUGUGCUAUAAUUAAAUUGUCUUCCAAUGAUAUUGUGAUAGAAUCCUCACUUUUAUUUCGUUUUAGUGUAAUUUGUGCAUAAGACAACUAUAAGAACCUCAAUCGCAAUAUUUCACUCUAUUUCACAGUGUAAUUUUUCUCCAUUUAUAUAAUUCUAGGAUAAUGCAAGUGCCCCUUUAUCACUGUGUCUUUUAUGUGGCCCCUUUGCCUUGUGUUUCUACUUUCACAAUUCUUUUAGCUAGAAGGGGUUAGUUUAUCCCCUCCAAUUUUUAAUUAUAGUGACUAUAUAUGCGUCCAAGUGGAGCAAAACAAAAUCACUUUGCCUCUACUGCGAGGGAUUAGGAUCCUUCUUUUGCAAGCAAGGUAUUUUUCAAGUUUCUUUCCCGAUUAUAGUUUAAAUAUGUUACAGUUACAUAGAAUGAUUUUGUUGUAUCUUAUGUUCUUGCUGGAUGUAACCUUUUAGUUUGAGGGGUAUAAUCGGACCUCUUUUAUUCAAUAUUUAGUAGCAUCUGUUCAUAUAUGCAUCUUUGUGGACUUUAUUUUUGGUGUAUCGACUCAUGCCUUUUCUGCUAAGAUGUGCUGGUCCUUUCUUGGACAUUUAUGAGUUACUUUUUUUUGUGUGACACUAUAUUCUGGUAGUUGGACUUUUUUUUAUUUCAAUUAGAGUUGUCUAAUGCUGUACUUACAUAGUUACACCUAAAUUUUGGUGUAUCUUGUAUGUAUGGCCACUAUGAUUUUUAAAAAAAUAUGCGUGCAACUUACAUCAAUCAUUUCUUUUAUUCAUUAUGCAGCAACCAUGUCUGGGUACUAUGUAUUUCUAUUGCUUUUUCUAUUGCUUGUUAUCAGCCUAAAAAUUGUACCUCUAAACCUCUGUUGUAAGCUAUGUUUUUUCUUGUUAACAACCAAAAUUUGCACUAUAAAUAUGUGUGUUUUUCAGAUGUGCUUUUUUUCCCUGUUGUCAACCAAAAAGUUGCACUGUAAAUGUGUGUUUUUCAGAUGUGUUUUCUUUUCUUGUUAUCAACCUAGAAAUUGUACCUAUAAAUGUGUAUUUUUCUUGUUUAGAUAUGUGGCUUUUUGCUUGUUAUAUCAGCUUAGAAACUGUACCUGUAAAUGUCUAGGGUAAAUGUAACUUUAUUAUCCACAAAAAAUUGUACAAGUAUUUUUUCAUAUUUGCUUGGUGUCAAACGUUUGAGAUUUUCUUUAUCUUUUAGUCGACACCCUAUCAUGUCUGUUUGUAGCUGGAUGGCCAAGAUAGCUCUGUAUGGAAAAUAUGUUUGCAGGCCUACUCGCAAGCAAAUUAUCUUGUUAGCUAUUAUCGGGUCAGUUUUUGCUCGACCUGUUAGCUGCAGCGGAUCACUCCGUCCCUGGAUCCAUUUGGGCUUUGUUCUCAUCACCGAGCCAGGCCGAGAAGAGGAGUUGAAGCGUUGGGGGCCUGGGGCGAUUCGGCGACCUCAUCGGCUCUAGCACCUGCGUCAGGAGUUGAGGUGAGCCAGGGGUCUAAUACAUUUUGCCUCCAAGUAAUAUAAAACCAAGAAAGAAGGUGUUUGCAACUAAGCAUAACAUAUGAAGGUUCAUCAGUUAUGCUCAGAAUCUUUGUGGACAUACAUUACAGAUUUACAGUUGCUCUAGAUAUAAUCAUGUUUGAACAUCCUCAACAUUGAUCUCCUUUGUCAUUGUUGUGGUAUCAUAGGUAGCUUUCUUCUGCUUGGUGUCAAGAUCGAUCUAGUAGUCUCAUUCAACAUCUUAUGCAUGUACUUAAUAUCUUAAUUUCCUUUCAGGAAAGCAGAGCCUCUUUUCUGCAUUUGUCUUUUCCUUUGUGAUAUAACAAGACACAAACUUAGGGAAAUUACCUAUUUGAUUUUGUUGAAAAUUUUCACUGAUGCAUGUAAAUUGAAGUUCCUAUCUGUUUGUUUUU